CUGUUCUUUCUGGGAUUGUUUAUCUCGGAAAGUGUUCGUUCUGGGAUUGUUACAAGCUUAUGACGUGUUUUAUCAUUUCCGAUACAGGUUCUGCUUGGAUGGUGCUAUCUCGGCCUUUUGUAGACUACACAAUAUGGGGUUGGGACAAUUUACCUCGGACAGCAUUAAUGUAUUAUUCGAACUUCAUAUCUUCUCCAGAAGGCUACUUCCACACGGUCAUUUGCAAUGCUCAGGAGUUUCGCAACACCACCGUGAACAGUGAUCUCCACUUCAUCUCCUGGGACAACCCUCCAAAGCAACAUCCUCACCACUUAACGGCCGAAGACAUGCCAAAGAUGGUGAAUAGCAACGCUCCCUUUGCUAGGAAGUUCAGGGCAAACGAUCCCGUUCUCGAUAGAGUGGACACCGAACUCUUGUCCAGGGGUCCUGGCAUGUUUACCCCCGGUGGUUGGUGCAUAGGUAGCCGGGAAAACGGAACUGAUCCUUGCUCUAGGAUCGGUAACACCACGGUUGUCAGACCUGGCCCUGGAGCUAAGAGACUGGAGACUCUGAUAAGCUCUCUUAUGUCUGCUGAAAAGUUCCGACCACGACAGUGCAAGUGAAGAAAUGAUUUUUAGAAAUUCGGGAUAGGCAGGCUUAUUCACGUUGAAAGGAAGACGAAAAUGAUGGCUUCAUACCGGUAGGAGCAAGGUGAAAGCUUGAAGUAUACUCGAGUCUGUCUUAUAGGGAUUUUACUUGGUGGGGUGUUGUGUUAUCUGGUGGAAGGAGUUGGGAUGCACACAGAAUCUUUGCAUAUUCGUAUCAUGGUAAAACCCAUACCUUUUUACCAGUCACUCCACAACUUUUAUUUUUUCACAGUGUAGUCACUUAUAUAUAUCUCUCGAUGAUCAAGAUCUUCAUCCCUCAUCUUCUUGUAACAUCUGUGGAUUAGUGAUGAGAACAGUGAAAGAUCUAUCAUGUAGUGGCCACGUUACUUCAUUACUUGGUAAGCAAUCAUAGCAUGAUAUAUAUACAUGAUGGUCAUUGUGAAAACUGGAGGGAAAGGACUGUUGAAUUUCAUGGUUAGUUAGUCUCUUUUAUUUCUGAUACUGAUGGCCUGUAAAUUGUCGCCGAUCUUGGAUUUGAACCACACUCUCGUUUUCAACUGUAAACACCAUUUCAUGUCAAAUUAUCGGAAGUUAUGCAUUUCCUCGAACAAGUUACGACUUACGAGCAACCUUCACUUAUCGGAAGUGACAAUGAAUCCUCUGCCUGGUCUUCUUUUCUGAAUCCUCUGAUUUGGAAACUGUGAGAGUGAAGAAAAUCAAAGAGAUCCAAUAAAGCAGCAGGGAAUGCAAUCAAUCUGGGAAUCAUAGUGCUGAAUAUUUGAUUAUUUUUACAUAUUACAUUUCUCAUUACACAAUCGUACAAAUGAAGAUCCGAAUCACUUCCUUCCUACUACAUUUCUCAACAGCUACUGCUGCUUGUAUUUGCUUUCGUCUUUCCCAGGCGCUUCCUUGUUUUCUUCUUUCGUUUCUUCAAUGGCAGAGAUUUCUUUCUCGCUGUUCUUUUCCCUCGCUUCCUCUUGCGCAGCUUCAAGGCUCUCCACCAGACUAUUCAGGCACGCCUCAGGAUUCGGCGGCACGGUCUUGGGCAUCAAAUGCUCGGCUACGUCAGCUGGAGUCAUCUUCGUCUCCAGCAGUAACUGGCGAAUUUUGUCGAACAGUUGGUGGUCGUGAAGCAGGAGGUAGUUCUUCGCCAACACUCUGAACGCUUCAAAGCUGCAGUACGACAGUUCGAUGUGUUUAUCCAUCCUCCCUUUCCUGAUCAGAGCCGGAUCCAGCUUCUCCACAUGAUUCGUGGUGAAAACGAUCAAUCUCUCUCCGCCGCAAGCCGACCAUAGCCCGUCGAUGAAGUUCAACAGUCCAGAAAGAGUCACCUGGCUUGGUUUGGCCUCUCUAUCUUCCUUCGGCUGCUUCGGCUUCUGAUCUUUGUCGUCUGUUGCUUCAUCCUUCUCGUUCGUCUUCCUUCGCUGGCCGGUAAGGUCAAGAGAGCAAUCGAUAUCCUCAAUCACAACCACGGAUUUGCUGGACGUCUCGAUCAGAAGCUUCCUCAGCUCAGUGUUAUCCUUCACGGCGGUUAAUUCAAGGUCGUAGAUAUCGUAGUUCAGAAGAUUCGCUAUGGCUGCGAUCAUCGUUGACUUCCCGGUGCCGGGAGGGCCAUAGAGAAGGUAACCUCUCUUCCAAGCUCUUCCAAUUCUCGCAUAAAACUCUUCCGCUUGGCUAAACGUGAUCAAGUCUUCAAGAAUCUCCUUCUUCUUCUCUGCCUCCAUCCCCAAUGUUUCAAACGUCGCCGGAUGCUCAAACAUUACAUGGCUCCAGUGUGAUCCGUUGUUGGUAUACAGCUUCCGCUGCCGAUUCUUAACCUUAAUUGCUCUACCUUCUUUCAAGACAUGGCUCAAAUACGGUCCAAUGACAAGAUUUCUAUGCUGCUUGUGAAAAGUCAGCUUGUAAUACCUUUUCUCAUCAGUAGUGGGAUAGAAAGACAGCGUCUGCGCCUUGGAUAUGUUCUUCCCAGAAGCCCACCACAUCUUAAUCCCUUGGAAUUCAUCAGCAACCUCUUCAUGGUCAUCCAUGCUCAACACCAGAGACUGGUUGUUCUUCAGUAUGUCAGCCUUGAGCCGCUUGGCCUGCAUGGAUGAAUUGGAGCUGAGGUAAUUCUCGAUGGCCGAGUGGAGCUCGCUGCGCAUCAGGCGCUCGCCUGUGAAUUCAUUGAAAGUGAUCUGAAUGUAAGGGUAGACGAAGGAGAAGACCCUUUGAGAGUACUUCUCUAUGUUGUGGCGGAGUUGGUAAGGGAAGUACUGCUGAAACAUUGCCCAGACGAACAUCAGACUGGCGAUUAUCGAUCCCAGCUGAGCAAAAGCAUCCCCUGCCUUCAUCCUGGUAAACCCUCUCCCACUUCCUAUGCUCUCCUCCAGUCCGUGCUUCAAACUUGCUGAAUUAAUCAUCGGUUUGUGGUGUAUUUGUUUUGUGGGUUAUCUAUUGACAAGUUGUUGAAUUUAUAAAGACAGUCGAAUACUUUUUGGUUAGACCGAAUACGUGGCUUCUGACUCCGAGGCCAAUAAUACGUGUACGGUGUUUGACAAGUAUAAAAGUACAAGUAAGCCCUAUGUCGGCUAUUGCUUUUACUUUCAUAGCCCUCAUAAGUUAGAACAAGUCGAUUUUCUCCUUUUCUCUUUACCGUAAGGACGAAGAAUCCCUCUUUUAACAUCAGGACAAAUAGAAUGGUCUUUGUUUAAUAGUAUUUGAUUUAUCUACCUAAUAUUCAAAUCAGAUUUCUUUCAUUCUUAUCUAGCUGAUUGAGGAAAUGACGCUGAAAUUUUGGUACCUAGGACAUGCGCCAGCGGCAUUAAGAAUACUUGUUUUAUUUGGGUGGGUGAGAUGUCUAAGAAUCAGACAAUUAUUUGUCUGUGGAGGACAAGCUGUCUUCUGUGAGUAGCAUGGACCCUUUUAGUCUUUUAAUAAUCGAUGAUAAAAACCUUUAUAGUAACCCUUUUUGGCCAUUGAUUGGAUUGAUCACAAUACGUUUUCCCCCUUGUCUGUAAUUAACUAUGGGCUGAUAUGGCUGCUGGUUGUUGCAAAGGAUCAACAUCACUUGCCAGCAGUUGGCCACUCCUUGGAAUGAAGUCAUGCAUUUAGGAUUGAAGGAACUUUCAUUUAAGCAACUGAAUAAAUAAGAUAUUUAAGCAACUAAUUAGUCUCUUCUUCAGGAGCUUUCUGCCUUUAAGGGUGAUUACAGGCAUAAUCAAAAGGAUAGCACAACCGAAUGUUAAGCAAACUAAAUUAGAUAAGGUGAUAAGUUUAGCUAAUGAGCAGAAGUUAGUAACCAAGAUACUAGUAGUCUCCCAAAACAUAAGCAAUAACAGAUAACUAAACAAAAUCAUAAACGAGCUCAGGUUCUUAGCAUCAGAGCUGAAAUUCAUCCGACAUCACAUUCAUCUUCUUCUUGUUCUUCGUUGUCAUUGUCAUCUUCCUCUUCCUUGACCCUGCCUCCCUCCUUUGCUGUCUCCAGAUCCUGAAUCAACCGAUUCAAGCAAGUCGCAGCAUCUUCGUCGAUGGAUUUUUGCAUCAAGCUCUCAGCUACAUCAGCAGGGCUAAUCUUGAUCUUCUCCAACAGGCUUCGAAUGACUUCAAACAGCGGGUGUGAAUCGAUGCUGAGGUAGUUCCUGGCAAGCACCUUGAACCCUUCGAACUGACAGUAAGACAUUUCAAUAUGCUUGUCCAUCCUUCCUCUCCUGAUUAAUGCCUCAUCCAGCUUCUCAACGUGGUUGGUUGUAAAUAUUAUGAUUCUUUCCCCUCCACUUGCUAACCAAAUCCCAUCAAUUAUGUUCAGUAGCCCAGACAGAGUGACCUUGCUGCUGCUUUCAUCUUCACCUUCCGGCUCUGUCUCGUCAUCAUCAUCAUCAUUGUCGCUGUCUUCAUCUUCCGACUCCUCUUUACUGUCCUUGUUUUUCCUCUUCUUGCUUUUGCUCUUCUUCUUCUUCUUCUUUUUCGUCUUCGCCUUUGUCUUCUUCUUCCUUUGAUCUGUAAUAUCAAGGGAACAAUCGAUAUCCUCUAUAACAACAAUUGCCUUACUGCAUAUCUCAAUGAGCAGCUUUCUCAACUCUGUAUUAUCCUUCACAGCAGUCAACUCCAGAUCAUAGAUGUCGUAAUUCAGAAAGUUGGCUACAGCAGCAAUCAUGGUGGUUUUACCAGUCCCAGGCGGACCAUAAAGAAGGUACCCGCGCUUCCAAGCCUUUCCAAUCCUUGCAUAAUACUCCUCCGACUUUGUAAAAGCAACCAAAUCAUCCAUAAUCUCCUUCUUCCUCCCCGGAUCAAUCGCCAGAGUCUCGAACGACGCGGGAUGGUUGAACGGAAUGUGGCUCCACGACGCUGUUUCGUUGCCGCCAUGAGUCUUUUUCGAGCCGUUUGCAUGAAGAUUCCUCUGUCUGUUACGAAGCUCGAUGGCAUUUCCUUCUUCUAUCACAUGCUUUAUGUAAUCCCCAGUGACGAACUCUCUAUGCUUCCUGUUGAACGUAAGCUUGUAGAAUCUCUUCUUGUCAUUGAAAUAGGAUUUGGCGACGGUGCUUUCUUUGGACCAGAGUAGGUUGAGACCUUGGUAAUCAUCGGUGACCUCCUGGUGAUCCUCCAUGCUGAGAAGGAGCUUGUGGUUGCCUCUGUAAGAGUCGGCUUUGAGGCUCCUGGCUUGCUGGAUGGAUUUUGAACGCAGGUAGUUCUCAAUGGCUGUGUAGGCGGUGUUGCGCCUGUAAUGGUGGUCGUCGGAGUAUUCGUGGAAGGUGACCUCGAUGUAAGGGUAGAGGAAGGACAUGAAUUUGUGGAGGAACUUUCCGAUGAGGUUCUGAUAGUCUCGAGGGAGGUUUCUGUGGAACAUUGUGCUGAGGAAGAACAGGGUUGGAAGAUAGGAGCUGAGUUGGCCGAGCAUAUUUCCUAAAUUUUGAUUCUUUGAUUUCCUCAGUGAUGAAACACGACUGAACUCUUUCCCUUCUUAUUAUGCAUCAUGACCUUCGUUAAUAAGUUUCAGUUUUUGAAUGAAUUGUGUGGAGGUCAGAGGUCAAGAAUGUGGAAUUUGUGUGCCUGUGUUGUUGUCAGUGAUCGAAGGCAUUUGAAUGCAUCACAAGAUUUGUGCAUGUCUCUGACAACAGGUCGACCAAUGACGAGAAGUUGGAACUGGAGAACUCUUGCAAAAGUGAUGAGUUUCUGGGCAAUGCGGGAGUUCCAGCAAUUAGUAAUGGGCGAUUAUUUUACAAUGUAAGUACAUUAUGAUAUGAUAAUUUUAAUUAUGAAAUGUAUAGAAAUAUUAUUUGGAAUUGUCAACACUUACCAGUAAAUUUUGAGAUUUCAUUUGGAGGUAGAGGUAUUAUACAUGAAAACUUGGGAUAAUUUUAUUAUUAUUCUGUACUCUAAGUCUUAAGGUGAAAUUAAUUCAAACAACAUUCAAACUUUAAGGCUGAAAAUUAGUAAAUAUCCGUAAAUUGUAACCUGAAUUCCUGAUGAAUAUUUUAAUUUUAAAUUAUAAAUAAUCCAUAUUAUUUUUAUUCAUAAUCAUUUAAUUUAAAUUCGAUACAUCAAAAUCACCAACAAAUAAAUCUGUUAAUAAAGUAACUCAAAAACUUUAAAAAAAAUUACUUUGUCCAUCAAAAAUUUAAAACGUUACCAAUUGUCACUAGGAUUGUUGGUGAAGAGCUUCCUCUGCCUAUUCCUGACAGCAAUGUUCUUCCCUUCCGCCAAAACCUUGUGAAUAUACAACUUGGUAACAACCUCCCUAUACCUUUUAUGAAACGUCAGCGUGUAAAACCUCCUCUCUUCAGCUUUCGGGUAGAAAGAAAUCCGUCGACGACUUGUUCGUGGUCCUCCAUGGUGAGGACCAGCGACUUGCUGUCCUUGACGACAUCGGCCUUGAGCCUCUUGGCGGUGGCGAUGGUGUGGGUGCUGAGGUAGUUCUGAAUGGCGAAGAAGGCGUCGCUGCUCUUAAGCUUAUCUCCUGUGAGCUCGCGGAAGGUGAUUUGGAUGUACGGGUAGAAUAGUCCGAUCAGCUUGCUUGUGUAUCUGUGUAAGUAGCCGCGGAGCUCGUAAGGGAAGUACUGCUGGAACAUUGCGUAGAAGAACAUUAGAGCGGCUGCUGCUGAUCCUAUCCUGCCCCAUAUUGUUGUGUUUUCUGUGUUCAUCUUUGCCUUUGGUUGUUGUUGUGUGUGCUCUGAGGUUUAAGUUCAGGGUUUAUAUAUAGCGGUGAGGUCAUUACAGAGAGGUGAGGACGACAAUGCUAUAAGAAGUAUAUCUUUCCCUUUCUAGUUACAACUUGCUCAGGAAGUAAUAGUCUAGAAUAAGUAGUACACGGACUCAACCCCUAUAUAUGCAAAAGUGAAUUCUUUAGUUUCACCGGAGUUUGGUAAUUGACCAAGGGAGUUUCGAAUUCAUAAGAUUAAAACUGGACCUUGUAUAUGAUAGAAGAUAACCCUACACUAAACAAUCUGAUCUGCAAAGAUUGCCAAGAGAGACACCAUUUUUGCAGGUUGGCGUGUAUUGAGAAACAAAACUCUGGACGUAGCAAUUAUGGUGUUUUGGGACAUUCUUGCAGUUUUGGUAUGGAAAGGUUCAUUGACAAAAUUAGCUUGAGAGAGUGACGUGCAUUGCAUGGAAUGGAAUUGAACGUACGUCAUAGGAAUAUGGUUUGCAGACUUUGGCGCAGUAUGUUUGGUUGGUGGCAACCAAUCAAUGCAUUUGUACAGUAGGUUGUAUGACAGUAGGGGAGACCAGUAAAUGUAAUGAUGAGAAGUUGGAAUUGUACAACUCUUGCACAUGUGAUAAGUUUCUAUGCAACAUUAUGUGGGGAGUUCCAGCGAUCAAUCUAAUGGGCGAGUAUUUUCCAUGGUGAUAUGAGGAUUUAAAUUAUGAAGUGUGAAAAACCUCUGGAGCUGCUAACCUUCAACGCUAUGCUACAAAUGAUGCAUAUUAAUUCUUAGCGAGGCGAUUACUUUACCCUCUGUGGUUGACGACUAGUUGGAAAAGCUCUUCCCAAGUGGUUAGUAUCAAAAUUAGAUACGAUAGUAGUUGCCAAGGGUUGAGCAGAGGCAAGUGAGAUCGCAAAUCUGGCCAUCUAGUCUAUAGUUAUAACUAUGAUACUUGUAGUGACAGAGCAGUUAUGGGGUGGUAUAUUGAAGUCUAAACAUUUGUGCUAAAGCACUUGGUUAAACUAAAUUUCAAUAACUUGAUAAAAACUAAGUACGCAGCAAAAAUUAACUAAACAUUUCUCUCUACUCUCUCAUAAUUUACCAUUCCUCUUCCUUCCUUUCUCUGAUACAUCAUCCUCUUCCUCAGAUGAGGAUGACGCCGACGACGACGAUUCCUUCACUCUCUCACCGUUGCUGUUGUUUUUCUUCUUCUUCUUCUGCCUCUUCUUCUUCAAAUCCUCCAAAGCACCAACCAACCUCCUCAAGCAACACUCCACAUCUUCCUCCUCACUCUUAGGCAUCAAAUGCUCAGCAACAUCAGCAGGAGUUAUCUUCACCUCAUCCAACAACUCCGCGAUCUUCGGAAACAACAUUCUAUCAUCCUCAACAUCCAGAUAGUUCCUAGCCAGCAAUUUGAAUGCUUCGAAACAGCAGUAUCCCAUCUCUAUGUGUUUGUCCAUCCUUCCCGUCCGGAUCAACGCAGGAUCAAGCUUGUCCACGAAAUUAGUAGUGAAAACAACCACCCUCUCCCCUCCGCAUCCCGACCAUAUCCCGUCUAUGAAGUUCAAAAGCCCUGAUAAUGUCACUUUGCUCCCCUUCUUGCUCUUCUUCUCUUCCUCGUCUUUCUUCUUCGAAACCGGAUCAUCGCCCUUCUUCUUGUCAUCUUCAUCGCUGCUGCUACUGCUUUCGUCACUGCUGCUGCUGCUGCUAUCGUACUUCUUUUUCCUUCUUUGCCCUGUUGGAUAUUUGAUUACGGUUAAUAGUUAGAACAUAUUGAGCUCUGGCCGGUUAAUUGGUUUAAAACAAGUUUGCUGUUUAAUCAUUUGUGAUUUUCUAGACCCACAAUUUUGACUGUUUGCCCGACUCAGUUCAUUUGACCAAAAUGAACCAAAAUGAACGAUUAUAACCCGAAAUUCUGAAUGUUUUCCUGACUCCGUUUAGGAGUCGGGAGGUUAGUUAAUGACGGUUAAACGACCAUUUUAACUAGUUUAAUCUCUUAUUCGAUCCCCGGAAAAAACCACCCGACCAAUUUUAAAAUUGGUUAAGCCGAAACCGCUCCUAUUCGGGCAGUUAACCGUCCUCCCUGAAUUUCCCUGCCAGUCAUAUUUACAUUUAUUUUAACUGCAUUCAACCUAAUUGGCUCGGUUAAUUGAUGGGUAAUUGACUCAUCGUCAACAUGUAUGUCGGUUAAUCGAUUAACCUACCUUUUAUAUAUGAUCUUAAUUAAACGAUCCCACGGACUCCCACCCUUAUACCUGUGAGAUUGAGCGAGCAGUCGAUGUCUUCGAUUAUGAUGAUCGACUUGCUGGUGGUUUCGAUCAGUAGCUUCCUCAGCUCAGAGUUGUCCUUGACAGUCGUUAGCUCGAGGUCGUAGAUGUCAUAAUCCAAGAGGUUAGCCAUAGCAGCAAUCAUGGUGGACUUCCCAGUUCCUGGUGGACCGUAAAGGAGGUACCCACGCUUCCAUGGCUUCCCAAUUUUGGUGUAGUAGUCUUUGGAUUUGCUGAACUUGAUGAGGUCCUUUCUGAUGGCUUCCUUCUUGUCUGAUGCCAUCGCCAGAGUGUCGAAAGUAGCCGGGUGCUCGAAUUGUACAUGGCUCCACUUUGUCGACUUGUAAUCGUACCUAAAAUUAUAUUCCUCACGACAUAUCAGAUCUCCAAAUUUCGAAUUUACCGAUACGAGAACAACCCUCUUUUGUUCUCGAAUGAAAACACUAAUAAGGAGCGGAAUCCGGACCGAAAUAUGUACUGAAUUGAAAACUUUGGACAUACCAAUUGUCACUAGGAUUGUUGGUGAAGAGCUUCCUCUGCCUAUUCCUAACAGCAAUGUUCUUCCCUUCCUCCAAAACCCUGUGAAUAUACAACUUGGUAACAACCUCCCUGUACCUCUUAUGAAACGUCAAGGUGUAAAAUCUCCUCUCUUCAGUUUUUGGAUAGAAAGAAAACCCCUGAGUCUUGGGAACAUUCUUGCUGGAAGACCACCACACUCUGGCCCCAUCACCACCACCGUCCAAUUGGUCGACGACUUGUUCGUGGUCGUCCAUGGUGAGGACGAGGGACUUGCUGUCCUUGACGACGUCGGCCUUGAGCCUCUUGGCGGUGGCGGUGGUGUGGUUGCUGAGGUAGUUCUGGAUGGCGAAGUAGGCGUCGCUGCGCUUGAGCUUCUCACCGGUGAGCUCGUGGAAGGUGAUUUGGAUGUAGGGGUAGAACAGUCCGACGAGUUUGCUGGUGUAUCUGUGUGCGUAGCCACGGAGCUCGUAAGGGAAGUAUUGUUGGAACAUUGCGUAGAAGAACAUUAGAGCGGCUGCUGCUGACCCUAUGCUGCCCCAUAUUGUUGUGUUUUCUGAUGUGCCCAUGUUGGUACAGUUUUGGGAUGUGGAUUUUUGUGAAGAUUGUUUGAGCAAUGAUUCAUUGGUUUAUAAGCUUAGUAUUAUGAAGAUAUUUGGGGUGUUUUUUUUAAUAUUUUUUUGAUGGAAACUGUUGCAAUUCAUGCUUGGGAGCCACGCAUUUCUUUGGUCGUAGUAAAUAGUGAAAAAAUGAAUGAAAAGUCACGAGGGUAGGUAUUUUGGCAUUAUCAGUAGCCAGCCACCUCCAAUAUUAUUUUAUGCAAAGUAGGAGGUCGACAGAGCAGAAGUCUGUUAUCUCGAAACAAAAUUAUUUGUCUCACUAUACACGCGUAAAUGAGAAACUUUUCAUUAGAUAGUAUCUGUGAGUGGCCCCUCUAUACCGAAAGAAAGCUAAAGGAUGAACUCGUUUCCGAAUCUAAAUUUACUAAUGAAGUCAACAAUGAGAUCGAAAUUAAGAUAGUCUGAGACUCUAUACUUCAAAUUUUUAUCUUUUUAAUUUGUUUUGUUUCAUUAAAUUAGCACACUUGUUUGCGUUGUAUGAGUAGAGACCAUAAAUAACUACUUAUAAUAUAUUUAUUCCUUUUUUUAUAAGAGCAGAACUAUGAACCAGAGUUAAACUGUUGUGUUUUGAUUUCAAACAAUUAUUAUUUGAAGUAUAAACUACAGUACCAAAUUACUAUUUACUCAGUAAGUCAAGCACAUGGCAUUGAAUUUCCAAGUGCUUACGCGUCAUUUAGGCCUCGUAAUCAACUUCCCCUGUAAGUAAUUAACACGUAAUUUACUGUAGCUUACUCUCCCCAGUCCUUUCUUCCCCCCCUAAGUUUUCUUAUUCUGUUCCGUUGAAAAUUGUGAUGAUGCAAUUCUGAUCAAAUCCGUGCAUCACCUACAACGACAUAAUCUUAGACACAACCUCCCUACUAUGAUUUGAGUCGAUUUGUACCGGUUGAACCGACCUGAUUAUGAAACUAACAGUAUGCAGACUUAUAUCUAUGAGCCCCCAAAUAACCUUACCAAUCUUACACUCUGAACAACAGACAGGCCGAAGAUCCCAGUCUAAUAAAGGGGUUUUCAGCAGUGAUCUGUGGGAAGAGGGUAGUGACAGUAUCUACUAUUCUUCAUACAAAGGAAGAACCUUUCGUAAGCCGACGCCAUUUUCGCAGCAGUAAACAUCGAACUCGCAUAACUCUUGCACGCCAUGCCUUUCCUCUGCAGCACCCGAGACCCAUCCGCGAUCAGCUCCUCCAAAGCCCGAACCAACGACUUCACAUUCGGCGAGAAAGUGUAGCCGUACCGCUGGUCAACCACAACCGUCCCCACAAUGCUGGGGUAGUUGGGAGUUAAAACGGGCUUCCCGCAAUGCAUGGCUUCGAUCAACGUCAAAUCAAGCCCCUGAGGCCUCAUCGUCGGGUUCACAAACACGUCGAUUGCGUUGUAGAAUUGCGAAAGCUGGGACGGUUCCAGCGGGCCUAAUACCUUCACGCUCGGACCCAGUUCGGCGUACCGGCGCCCCCAGGGGCCCGAUCCUGCGACCACGAGGCAAACUCCUGGAUGUCGCGCGAGCAUCGAGGAGAGUGCCUCGUAGAGGAUUGGAUGGCCUUUGUCCCUAACUAGCCUGCCUGCCACUCCCAUUACUAUGGUCGCAUUGCCUGCAAAUUUCAAGCAAGGUCAUAGUUAUUUUGUUACUCCAUUAAUAACUUAUAUAAUGAAUUUGUUAAGAAAUAAAGUUGAGUGACUGAAAUGUUAACUAUUCAGAGCUUGAGACGCCAACCUGGAAUUCCGUAUCGCUCCCUGAAAACUUCCCCUGCUUUGGGAUCAUGAACGAACUGAGAAUCAUCAACUCCGUUCAGAAUCACAUGAACAUUCCUCCGAUCCACCUGAUAAACCUUCACCAAAGCCUCCCCGGCGCUAUUACUGAUGCAGAUAUGCUGCUUAUAGCUCCUGAAAAACCUAAUCUCAUCCAGCAACCUCGGCAUCGCCUCCUGCAACUCCGCCGUCAACGGCAGCUCUUCUCCUCCUCCUCCGUUAGGGUUCGUGAACAGCUCCUCGAACAGCUUCGAGUGCAUGAUCUCGUACCAGAUCCCGUGCCACGUCACCGCCAGAUUCGAAACCAACUUCGCCCUCCAGUGCGGCAGGGACACGCUCUCGCUGUGCACGUAGUCGAAGGUCGGCGACACGGCGUCGACCGAUUUGAAAAUCUCGUACGCCCGCGAGUUGUUGACCGAGCCGUGUUCGUUCGCCGCGAAGUACACGUGGAGAUUAGCCUCGUGGAUUUCGGGGUGGGGCCGACGGUCUGAGGGGACGGUGAAGACGUGGAUCUCGUGGCCCUUUUUUGCUAACGCGGUGUAGAGAGUGGCCGCGUGGCGUUCCAUUCCUCCGGGUGAAGCUCCGAUCGGCCAUGAUUUUGAAAAGACGGCGAUUUUUAGUUUCUCGGACGAGCCGCUGUUCCCGAAGCAGAGUUUGUUCCAGGGGAAAUCGGCGUCUCGGAGGUCGCCGGCGAACGGUUGUUGUUCGAAGGAGGGGUAUUGGAAUCGGAGGAGUAGGAAGAGGGAAGUGAAGAGAAAGGCUGCGAAGGUGAGGAUUGUGGAGUAGUUUGUUAGAUGGAUUGGGUAAUUGGGUCUGGAAUUGUGGUGUUUGUGCUUCCAUCCCAUGGCUCUGGUUUAUUGGGCGGAGAUGAAAUUCAAUGCCGGAGUGGUUUUUACAUUGAAAAUGUUGGUGGGGGAAGAGUGUAAGUUUGGCAAACUUGCUUUGGCUUUUCUUCAUUUCUUUUUGGACUUCUGUAUAUGCGCCAUUGAUGAUGGAUCGGCUCCUCGAGCACAUGGAUUGUUGACUUCCGAUUAGUACUGUUAUUAAGUUAAUGGAAUUAAUGCAGUCUCAGUUUCAGAAACCUAGGGAAAUCUAAUGGUGUAUUCAAUGAAAUUGUUAGUGGCGGUGGGUGCAGUUUGCAGGUGGAGAUGUGAAUUCUCCGAUAUUCCCUUUUAACCUUUUUUUACUGUCUAAAGUAGUAAAGCCUCACCCUUUAUGAACGGCGGCGGUUGUUGUUACGGCGCUGCUCUGUUCAUGUGAAGAGAAUGAAGAAGACGACAAUGACCAGCAGCAUUGAGCUUGUUCAUGAAUUGCACAGUUUUUCUGUAAAACUGCUACUUUUUUCCAAAUUAAACAGAAGAAAAUGACAUAUGAGCAAACGGUUUCACUGGUAAAGCAUUUUUCUCAUCACAUCAAAUUUUCCAGAAAAUCAUGGAUCAGUGGUGGAUCACCUCUGGAUCUCCAUAACUCUUAUUUCUGUCAUUGACACCAAAGCUUAGACAAUAUUACAAUAGCAUCUGUAGUAUAUUACACUACGAACAAGCACAAAACAGCAGGCCAAACCAAACACACAGGAAAUCAAAUAACCAACUCUUGACAGCCGACUUGAAAUCUCCAUUCUUCAAUCGAUCAUGCACAUAUGGACGGAGCCCGUAACAGUUAAGUUACCUUCUUUUGGACCAGGCACAACCUUCUUUUAUAGCGAUAAGUUUUGAUACAACUUGGCUCAUACCGACUCUCUCUUCUGGGAUGUCGGAAGAACAAACAAUGCCGAUUUCGAAAAUGGAACUCAUUAGUUCUUCUAUGUCUUUGCUUGCUUUCUCUGAGUUGUUGGUAGUAUCGUUGUGAAGGGUUGUAAAGCUAUGAAGUAGUUCAUCAAGUAAAAUUGGAUCAACAACGUUGGACGUGCGUUUUUUUGACAAAGCGUGUUUGACGAUAUUAUGAAGGUUUAAGCCGUCUUUGAAAGUUUCAUCGGUUGGUCUCCUUCCAGUAAAUAACUCAAGCAGCAAAAUACCAUAACUGUAGACGUCACCUUGUUUUGAAACUUCAUUUCCUGUUCCAUAUUCUAUAAAAUAAAUUAUUAGAAGAAAAAAACAUUAAUGAGAAGAUCGGAAUUAUUAAAAUCUUUCUAACAUGUAAGAAAUAGCUUUGUUUUACCUGGAGGUACGUAACCAACGGUUCCUUUUAUACCAAUGGUAGUUGAAGAGGGGUUCUCAACUAUUGCAAGGAAUCUUGCCAAUCCAAAAUCACCGACAUGAGCCACCAUGUUCUUGUCAAGAAGGACAUUGCUUGGCUUGAGAUCACAAUGAACAAUUGGAAUUUCACAACCGUUGUGAAGAUAAUCUAUUGCAGAAGCUAUAUCAGUGGCAACAUUUAUUCUCUGAAUGAAGUUUAGACUCUUUGUUGUAAUCUCAUUUAUUCUUUCCGUUGGCCAAUGAAGCCAAGCUUCUAAACUUCCAUUAGCAAAAAACUCAUAGAUGAGUGCCUUGAAAUCAUUUCUUUCGUGAUCAAUGCUUGAACAUGCUGUUAUUAUUCUCACAAGAUUUUUGUCCCUAAUAUUUUUCAAUACUUCACAUUCUGCCAUAAAACUCUUGGAAGCUCCACGACGCUGAACGUCGAAUACUUUCACAGCAAUAUUGGUACGCAUUUCAUGAAUCUCAUCAAGGACACCCUUAUACACAGAACCAAAACUGCCUAUACCAAUCUGAUUUGCCGAGGAGAAACCAUUUGUAGCUUUGUAUAACCUUUGGUAAGAUAGUUGUAGUAAUUUUGUAUCAGCUUCUAUUAUUGUAUCUUUUCUUCCUCUUUUUUUAAUCGACAAGAUGAAUAAGCAAGACCCAAUGAAAGUAAGAAAAAGUAGACUACAAAUUGUUGAAAUAACAAUCUUCCACUUAAGACUUACUGUUUUGGUUGAGUGCCUCCUGAAGUUACAUGGUGGAAGUUUAAGUGUAGCAAUUCCCCCACAAAGCUUGCUAUUUCCAACGACUGAAAUAAUGCUACUAUUUUUGAAGACUCCUUGAGUAGGCACUUCAUCUUCAAAAUUGUUAUGCGACAGAUUCAAAAAUCGUGAAAUAUUCAUAAUCUCCAAGAAUUUUGGAAUUUGACCAGAUAACUUAUUUGCAGAAAGAUCGAGCUCCUGAAUACCUCUCAGAAAACUCAAAGAAGAUGGAAUUAUGCCUUGUAGGAGAUUGCCUUGCAAGCAUACAGCCUCUAGACUGAUGCAACUACCCAAACUAUUUGGGAUGCUGCCGGACAACAUAUUAUGAGAUAGAUUUAAAGUACCCAAGUUUUUUAGAUUACCCACCUCCAAGGGAAGGGCACCUGUGAAUUGGUUGCGAGACAAGUCUAGGAUAAUUGACAAUGAGGUCAGACUCAUGACUUGUGUGGGGAUGACACCAUUGAGAUUGUUGCUAUGAAGACUCAAUUGUAGUAAUUUUGUACAAUUUUGAAUAGAAGUAGGAAUUUCUCCACGUAAAUAGUUAUCGCUAAUAUCCAGAUCAAUCAAGUUGGUCAAAUUUCCCACAGAAGCUGGAAUAUACCCUGUAAGUUUGUUGUUGUACAAUUGCAACAACUCCAGAGACUUGAGGUUUCCAAUGAUAGAUGGAAUCGUACCUGUGAGAUUAUUGUUACUUGCCCAGAGUUGCUCCAAGUUGACAAGGUAUUGCACCUCAACUGGAAUGUUUCCUGAUAUUUUGUUGCGGUUGAAUCUUAGAUCCUUGAGGUUGAUUGACAAGUUGCCAAUAUCGUGCGGUAAGCUCCCUCCAAAAUUAUUUUCCUGGAUUUCCAGACUUUCCAAAUCCGUGGCAUUCGUCAAAGAAGAGAGGAAGCUCAAAUCGUUAACCUUGCCACUUCCCAGAGAGUUGUGGUAGAUUGCGCAUCGUGUAUGCUUAGUACAGCCUGCCAUACUAGGCAUGCCCCCCGUAAAAUGGUUGCUCUGAAGUUGCAGUUGAACCAGAUUGGAGGCAUUGAACAAAGAAGGUGGAACACUGCCGCUAAAUUGGUUAUAGUGCACAUUAAAGGUAAGAAGAUUUGGAAGCAAUAUUCCUAUAUUCCAUGGAAGAUUGCCAUGAAAUUGGUUAUACCCAAUCCAUAUCUCCGUGAGAGAAGAAAGAUUGAAAACGGAAGGAGGAAUUUUACCAGAUAAAUUAUUUUCAACCACGUCCAGAAACUGGAUGUGCUUCAAUUGGCCUAAAGUAUCAGGAAUUCUCCCGCUAAAUUUGUUUUUGGCAGCGACGAAUACUUCAAGAGAAGACAAGUUGCCAACAGUAGGAGGGAUGCUUCCGUAAAGAUUGUUUAACGCUAACCAACAAACUCGGAGUUUGUUCAAUAAGCCAAACUGCCAUGGCAGUCCUCCCACCAGUUUAUUAUUAUAUACAUCAAACACGAUAAGAGCAGAGCACCCUGAGAUGUUGGAUGGGAUCUCGCCACCGAGCGAGUUGUUGUAAAGCACCAACUGCUGCAAUCUGCCCAGACGGCCGAUUUCAAGAGGUAUUUCCCCGACGAAGCUGUUGUUGUAAAGAUUCAACAUUCUCAGGAAGCUGAGAUUGCCAACGUGCGGUGAGAUAGAACCAUAUAGUCCCAGAGACGACAAGUUUAAGGCAGUGACUCUACCGUAAUGCCUUUUGGAACAAGACACACCAUACCACUCGCAGAAAUGAGUAGAAUCAUUCCACGAGCUCAAAGACCCCGCCGAAGGAUCUGCAGGAAACACCAUGGACUUGAACUCGAGCAAAGCUAAACGAUCAGUUUCAUUUCUCAACCGAAUUCCAGAAGAGGAAGCCUGACAGCAAAAGCACAUCAAGUGAACAAGUAGAGCUGCAGCAACUGCAGCAUAUUGUACACUCAUCAAACUCCCUGAACCCACCAUCUUCUUGAUUUGUGUUUUUUUCCCUUCUCUAACUUUCAACUUGAAAGAUCAUAAUGGAAAUGUGAGAUGGGUAUUAUGAAUGCUUUGUUAGUGACUCACUUCUUAUCAAAUGGGAUGGCUCGAUACAGACAUCCACUAGACUUAGUUGACUCAUGACUGACACAGUAGUCUUCAGCAAAGGGAACAAUUAAUUAACUGAGCUUCGCAGGUAAUUUCCCAAUCAACGGCUCAAGUCUCAAUUAUAUUCUUCAAAAAGGGUUAAAGUCUUAAUUAUUAUUAUUAUCUGUCAAACGAUAUACAAUCAGCCUGUCAGACUCGGACCAGUCCAAUUCAUGGGUCGCUUGAGUCAGAUCUGAUGCAUGUUUUUUUCAAAACGCUACAAGUUGUGUAUUUGAUACACUUCAACCCGUAGUAACAGCAAACAGAUUACUAAACAAACAAAAACUGAAAGUUGAAAAAGAAAGUUGAAAACUGGGGGAGAUCAGACAAGUGUGCUUUAGAAUUGUGUUCUCGAUCACGAUUAAUCAGAAACACGGACCAAUUUUUCAUUCAUCACUUCUCACCACUAAACAUCAAAAGCUCAAUAAGCUAUUGAAAAACUUCAGCUUGAACGGAAACAAAGAUCGAGAGGACGAAUAGAGAUGGUUAUCAUCAGAGACAUAAAUACAUAGGCAUCACAGAGGUUCAUAUUGUUGCAGUAUUUUCCCUUCUUCACCUGACAAACAUUGGAAUCACAGAGAUUGUCAACUUCCAGCAGAAGCUUUGAUUAUAAUGUUAUCAGUUACUGUCACAGCAACAGUUCAUAACGGAUUCAGAUGAAACUGAUUCCAUGGGUCUAAGGAAUCGUCUCCUGCAAUUGUUUGGUUCAAUUCCGGCUGAAGAUUACUGAUCCGUUCUAAUUCAUAUUAACGCAUCAAUAGAUAACUACCCAGAUCAACCCAGAAUUGGCAAGUCAAACUAGCAGAAAGUGGUAGAUUUACUGCUCAGAAUAUGAAUGUGUCUUCUCAUAGACUUUCUGGGAAAGCCUCUGAAGUCUGACAUGUGUUAAUUUGAUUCAAUUCAUCCCCGCAGUGAACACCAACAGAUAUUUCACUAAACAACUAAAGAAAAUGGAAAGCUCUCAGCUACGUUUUUAAGCAUUUGUCUGUUCAUGUGUUGAUCAGAAUAGCGUAUAUAGCCCACAAGGGGCAGGAAAUCACCGAGCCACCGUUUCGAAAACAAUCAAAGUUUGAAAAUUUGGAGAGAUCAGAUCAGUGUGCUAUUAAAAUUGUGUUUUCGGUCACGGUUAAUCAGAAACACGGACCAAUUUUUCCUUCAUCACUUCCCUCCAACCAUACACAAAAGCUGAAACUAAAUUGAACAAUUCAAAAUAGAUGAUGAAAACCCACAGCAAUACAGAAAACAAAGAUUGAUAUGACGAAGACGAUUGGUUAUCAUCAGAGACUUAAAUACAUAAGAAUCACAGGGGUUCAUAUUGUUGCAGUAUUUUUUCUUCAUCACAUGACAACCAUGACGUAGAGCCAGAGAAUACUAAAUAGAAAACACAGAAACAACAAAGAAGAAGAAAUCGGAGGAUCUAACAAGAUUAGGAGCAAGCAGCAGCUCAAUUCAGCUAUAUAGUUCAAAGUGACCGGCGAUAUGCAUUUAUAUGGCGAAGAUUGCUACUUAUUCGGCUAGGGUUUCAUUCUCCUAGCCGUCAUGGGCCAUCAGCUGAAACGCGGGCCGUUCUGGUAGCACUCAGCAUUUGGGCUUCAGCAGCUAAGGAUUAUCUUUGGACUUUGGGCACUGUAAAAAACGGGCCAAUUUGAAUACGUGGGCCGCGUCAUAGGCUUAGAUGAUCAUCUAACAUCACUAGGGGUUGUUUGGUAAAGAAGAUUGCAAAUGAUACGAUGUUGAAGUAUAGGAGGAUAGUGGAAAAUUGUUUACUAAUGGAGGAUGUUUGAUUAUAUCGUUUGUUAUGUUUUUUAUUUAAUUAUUCUUUUUAAGAAAUUAUUCUUUUCUAUUUUGGUUCGGGAUGUGUAUUAUUUUCCUUUUGAAACUCGUAUAUAUGUACUAUUUUUUAUUAGGAGUGUAUUAGUCAAUAUAUAUAUUAAAAUACGAACUGUACAAAGUAAAAGAUAUUAAGAAAAUUAUGCAUUUUCGGAGUUUUAUACAUAGCAGUAGGUUGAAUCGUGACUCAUAGAAGGCUCCCCUGUAUCCACCACUGAUCUUGGUGGUGCCUUCUGCAACGAUUGUUAUGAACUCCAAACAUUGCAUAGUUCAAUCCUUUUCAGAAUCGUUCCACCUUCAAUUUAUCUUUACUUUAUUUCAGACUUAAAAGGAACUUUCCUCAAUUCUAUAAUUUUGUGGACCAAAAUUUAAUAUUUUUUCAGAUGAAUAUAUUAAAGACUGUAUUAGUUCAACUCGAUACUUUUUCAUAUACAAAAAUCAAACUUUUAAUGAUACUUAAAAGAUUUGAUUUGGGAUGAUGUACAUCAAUAUUUUGAGUCCCAACACUCAUUUUGAAAUAAUUUCUUCACGAAAAUUGAUAUAAUUUCAAUCACAAGUUGAGAGGAUCAUGAUCUAUAGUGUCAAAUAUAGUAUCCCCUUUUUUUCAAAAACUACAUAGUAGGAGGAAUCAUUGAGAAACUAGCUACCAUUUAGAAUACGACUACAAGCUGACAAAAGUGCAUCUGCAUUCCAUCCGAUUAAAUAUUUCUUUUCUCUGGUUGAAAUUUUUCUACUUUUAGUGUCAGGAAUCAUUUUCAUCCCUACAGAGCUUCAGUUUCAAAAAAAUAGCUUCAAAAAUGAGAAGGAAAGUAAUGAUUAAAGUGAAGUAGUGCCACACUUGGUUUAAAAAAACCAACAACAAAGUGUCUGCAACAGUAGAGAAUAUAACUCAGUAAAGGGCACAUUUGCAAGCUCCCCUCUCUCUUUUUAAUGCAACAAAAAAGGAACAGUCUUUUCUAUGGAAGAGUGCAACUUGCCCUCUUUUAGCAAAUCAUAGAUAAAGAAAAGGUGACGAGAGAAAGUGGAGAGAGCAUGGGGUUACAACUUACAAAGAUCCAAGCUUGACAUUGCCAAUUCAUAUCAACGACCAUGAGGUUAUGUUUGGAUUGGAACCUUUUCCUUUCUCUUAUAUAGGAGCUGUCCGUCCGAAUCCUGGAAAAAAUGGUGUCACACAGAAGAAUAAUUGGCAGGAAUCAGACCAGUUCAUCAAUCUGAAAAGGAACAGAUGAUACAUUUUACAAUGAGUUAGUGCUAUCAUCAAUCAAUGACAACUCUGAGAAAGCGAGUAGGAUCAAAGACAAGAAAAAUCCAAGGGAAAGUUGGUGACAUUUUGGUGUGCCUUUAGCUUUUGUCAGGUAUGGGAAACCGGGAAGCAUGUUUCAACUUUGAAGGCGGGGGCUCCAAAGCACGUUUAUCCAUGCAAUUGCUUGGGAAAAAACAUUCUGAUGCAGAGAGAGAGCAGAGAAGAAAAGGGAGCUUCUUUCUUCAUUUAGCAGAUGAAUUAGACACAAACAUCAGUAGUUCCUAGUUUCUUACAAUAAUCUAAAACCUUCAAAACUACCAAAAUUGGUUCAGAAGAACUCAAAAUCCAAGUAAGGGCCAGAGCUUCUGUCUGAAUCAGCAGAAGCAGAACCUCCCUUGUUGUUGCUGUUGUUGUUAUUAACCUUAUUAUUACAACCCCCCAAGUUUGUUGGUACUGAUGGCUGCUGCAUGGUUGGAGGAGGACUUGGAUGAUUCAAAAUGGACAUAUCUACUGGUUUAGGAACUUCAGGAGGCUGAGUGCUCCGAAUCAGAGCCCAAUUCACAGUUUCGAAAAACGGAUGCUGCUUAAUUUCCGUAGCUCCUUUCUUGAAACCUAAUCUCUUCUGAGGAUCCUUAACAAGGAGACCUCGGAUCAGAUCCUUAGCUGCGAAACUGACAGAUGUUCCUUCAGGAAACUUCAGAGGUUGGCCAACCACAUUGCAUAGAGUUUCACCAUUACCGUUUCCUUUAAAUGGCGUCUUGCUGAAUAACAACUCGUACAAGAAGAUACCGAAUGUCCACCAGUCCACAGCGCUGCCAUGUCCGUCCCCUCUUAUUAUCUCGGGAGCUAAAUACUCGUGGGUCCCCACAAACGACAUGGACCGUGCAGUGGUUGGCUCGACAACAAGUACAGGGAGGGAAUCUGAUGAGCUUGACAAGUGAUGGAGCUUUUUGUUAUCACUUUUCUUCUUCUUCACACUUUUAGAGCUGCUCUUUUUGAGGCGUGGCUUGAAGCAAGAUGGCUGUACUAAACAAGAGGGUUCGACACAGACGGGUAACCUACAGGCCGGAUCGAUGCAGGAUGGCUGGAUGCAGUAGGAUGAAAUUCGAGAUGAUGGAUCGACGCUGGACUGGACUAGAGUUGGGUUGACACAGCAUCUUAAUGAUAGAUCGAAAUCGGAGAGCAUGAUAUGGCCGUCUUCCCUUACCAGUACAUUUUCUGGCUUUAAAUCUCUGUACACAACUCCCAUCAUGUGGAGAUACUCCAUUGCAAGAAGCACUUGUGAAGCAUAGAACCUGGUAAGAAGUGAAAACAUCAAAAUGAAUUUACCAGCCUGUCAAUUUGCUAGGUGCUGAUGAACUCAACUACUAUAUAUCUAGCUACCUAGGUUUCUCAAUGCUUAUAAUCUUGGACCUCUAAUGGUUUUCGACCUAGUAUCAUAGCCAGAGCCUAUAAUAAUCAAGAUGUCCCCAUUUCAAAUUUUGAUAGUAUAUGAUUUAUCAAAGCUGUGCAAAUCUCAGAGCUUAAUAACCAAGAGGUCCCCAUUUCAAAUUCUGAUAGUACAUGAUUUACCAAAGUUGUACAAAUCUCAGAACUUUAGUUUGAGAGAGAGUGUUAAUGAAUAGUAAAGAACCAAUCUUGGUCAUCUCCCAAGUCCCAACAACUCUCGAAUGAUUGGUUCUGGACAGUAUUCAGGUCAACAUUGAACAAAACUUGAGAAGCAUUUAAUUCAAAACCUCAGUCAAAGGGAGUUAAUUUGGUGGUACUAUUCUGGUCAACAGUGAUGAUCCAAAGUAAUUUGAGUUUUGUUGACAAACCUUGCAGCGUGCUCAGUGAAAUGCUUGCCAGGCUGGCGCUGGCGGAGCAUGUGAAGGUCUCCACCACUGCAGAACUCCAUCAAGAGGCAAGAGAACUUAUCAGUCUCAAAAUGAGAAUACAGAGUAGGCAAAAAGGGAUGAUCCAGCAACCCCAAAAUCUCCUUCUCAGUUUGAGCUCUCAGCAGCUUCUUCCUCCCAGCCAACAUCCCUUUAUCCAUUACCUUCAUCGCAAAAAGGCAUCCGGUGUCUCUCAAUUCAGCCAAGUACACACUCCCAAUAUCUCCACACCCGAGCUUCCUCAGCAGCCUGAAAUGCCCCAACCCCAAUGUCGUCUCGCCAUCUACAAAAACAACACUCUGUAUCGCAUCCCACCUGACAUCAUUAUUCCCUCUGUGGGGCUUGGAAUUGCAGACGCUCCUGAAACUACCGGCGACCUCGUUGAUUGAUUCGACGGUGCUGCUGAGUGGGCUGCCGCUGCUGUCCUUGAACUCGCUGCUGACAUUGCUCAAAUUGCUGUUGGUGCUGCAUAAGCUGAUACUGACACUGUUGGUGGUGCUCAAGCUGAGAUCUCGGAAGCUGGCGGAUUCGGCGGCGGCGCAAGUCUCGGCCUUUAACGUUUGUUCACUCAUUUUUCGAUGGGGAAUGGAGAAUGCAGAGAAGGUGGUUGAUGAAAUGGGUAUCAGAGAGAAAAAUAAGGGGGAGGAUUUUAAGGAAAUGGGAGGUGGGUUUUUCAGGACGGGGGGAGAAAGCGAGGCAAAGGUGGUGGGUGGCGGUCAAAUUACCGGGUUUGUGAAACGAGGCAGUCAAAGGUUUAAGCGAGCCUUCACAAAUGGACACACUCCUAUAUAAAACACUGCCCCCAAUUCAAACUUUUUUCAAGUGAGAGCGCUCUAGGACAAAAUUGAGGUAGGACUAGGAGUGAGCUCGGAGACGGAGAAGCAGUUGUAGGAGGUUUAUUUCGAGAUAGACGGACAUUGAUGAGAAAUCAUUUUUUUAGUUAUUGGAUUAAUUUGGAUUCGAUCUUAAGUUGCGGCGGCAAUAACGAAUAUCAUUCGUGACGCUACUGAGUUCGGCCAUAGUAUUGUUUUUUGUCAUGAAAUUGUGCUCACUAGGCCCUUAUUUUCCAUGAUUCGUACAAGGAGAUAGGAAUUAGGCGCACAUGAGCUUGCUUCACGACCUUUUAUCUCUUAACAUCGCCAACUGUUUGGCAUGCCGCUCCCCUUUGGCUCGAACAUGUACUAUCGGGUAGAUAGAUGCAUCUUGAUUGUUAAUAUUACGAUCGUGUCUUUCCCUAAAAAUCACUGGGUAUGAGUUCGAUAAGUCAAAAGAGUAACUGAUCUUAUCAUAGCAUAAAAGAAAGGAUAACAUAAAGUAUAUGUACACGAGUACAUCUCAAGUCUCGUCUCUCGAUCUACACCCAUAUUUUCUUUGUUAAAGAUAGAUCUGGUGAACAUAUCAGUAUAAGAGAUAAUAAACGACAAAAAUAAAUUUAAUAUCCAUAUAUAAAUAUAUGUUGGAUUCGAACUCAAAAAUCUCCCGAAUUACCAUGGUGUAAUAAGCUAUGCUACUCACUACACAGGUGACUGAAAGACAGAGACGGACAAAACUCAAAAGCCAAUCAGAUUUUCUAAAAAAUCAACACAGGGUGAACGUGGAGAGAGAAGGGAUGGCAGGGUUGAUUUUGGCAAUACCGUUACACUUGAACUGCUUUGCAGUUGGUCAUUGACUGUGGAGAGGGGUGCUGACGUGUUUGUUGGCAAAUGAGAAUCAAUCAUAGCCGUCUAUUACGUUGAUGAGGUACAAUAGUUGGAUCCUAUUUGGAUAUUCGGUGGAUAUAAUGGAAUGCAGCCCUAUACUAUUGGAAGCUGACUGAGACCACUACUGCACGAAGGGACAAGGGGAUCUAAACAACACUGAACAAAAUAUAUAGCAAACGACUUGUAUAACAUGUAUUCAUUCAUUCAUUCUCUGUAUAACAUUUAACCAGCAGAUCGUGACUUGACACAGACUCGAGGCUAUAUCCGCCUCAUCUCGUUAUCGUUUCGCAGACUCGAUAAUGAUGACCUCUUUCCCUUUCCUAAGAUGAGCAUACCCUGCAACUCUUCCUACAGUUUCCCAAGAAUUUAUCAGUACCAACCAUAUACUGCGGGUUCUUCUCGCACUCACCUUCGUUGGCCCAUUUCUCGCAGUUCUCGCUCUCGUCGUUGCAACCUCCUUCUUGCUGUUGCGAUAUGGAUUCAUCGAAUGACCUGACGUGGAUCCACUUUGUUGCUGACCACUUCUCCCCCUCUAUAACGGGGCAACUCCCGUGCAGACUGGUCAGAUCAGUGGUUGCAUCAGGGUGGAGAUUGAAGAACAGUAGAGCAUCACCCUUCUCAGGCUUCACUGUAAAUAAUAAUAGGAGGUACGUUUCAUCAGAUUCUUACGAUUCUCUGCUUACUAGAUGAGAUCCUACACUACAGAAGAAACAGCAAGAAUAUAGAAACUAAACUUAUAAGGAAUUCUAAAUCAGCUCACGGAGUCAGGAAACUGAAGACAUAGGGUUAACUGUUAAGUACCUGUAUAACCAUCUUUUGCACAAUCAGACCAGUCAUGGGGCUUCGCUAGAGAAUCCUUCCCCUACGAGAAAAGAUUGCCACAAUCAAUAUAUAAGAAGGAAGCGAAAUGAGGAAUUCAUGAAAUAGAGCAAAAACUUGCCUCUGCAUUAGGAAACACGGUCUCCCCACCCUUGGCUACAUCUGAUAGAUACAUCAACACAGUGGCAAUCCGGUGUCCGCCAAGCUGUUGAUUAACCUCGUCAUUGAAAUAGUCAAAAUGUGGCUCGUACUUCUGACCAAUCUCGUAGCGUAGGAUUUGAAUCGCCUCUCCAUUUUCUGAUUCAAUUGCAGGUUAAAGGAUAAAAACAAUACUCUUCUUUGCACAUCAUAUGCUGCUAAAGAAUAACAAUAUUCUGUAUAUAUACCGACAGGAAGGAAAGUCCAGGUAGCAAUCCUAUGUUCAAUGGAAGCUACCACUUCAUCCUUCACAAUUGAAAUCAAUGAUCUAGAUGCAUUAGAAGAGGCAAAAAAAAGUAGCACGGAACAAGAAUAGCUAGGAAAAGUGAUACACAUCAGGUUAUAAGCAUUAUUGGUUUCCUUCCAAUUGAAGGCUCGAUCAAAAGUCCUUCAUUUUGGGAUUAGAUAAGAACUCAGCCGCCUCGAUUAAAUCUUACCAAAUAGCACGAGAUAAGCUAAACAGAGAUUAGAGUUUUCCUUUGAUUUAGGUGGAUGGAUGCAAAAUUGACGAAAACUCAGCAGCUAGAUUGAGAAGAGCACCUGUGCUUUACGAAGAAAAGUUCCAGAGCUUGUUCUUUCUUCACUCUCUAUAGUCUUCCCUGUUUCAUCAUCCGCCACCAUUGAUUUCUCAAGCGAGUCCCUGGCCUGUUAACCACAUAUCGAUUUACACGGAAUCAGCAAAAACUUCAGUUACAUCACAUUUCAAAUUAUCUAUUCAUGAAAUGUUGCAAUCGAUAAUCACAGCAAAGGGUUUCAAAAGUAGAUAUAGCACAGAAGGGGCAAUUCAAUUACCAGGUCCUUAAGGUGCUCGCAGUCCGCGUCUGACAGAAAUCCUUUGUACAGAAAGGCCCUAGUGAAGAUCACCAUAGCAGGAACAUUAUUAAUUGCAGUUAAUUGAAGAAACGAACAAUGAGAUGAUAUAUUAGUAUACCUUGGAUGCCAGGAGAGUUGAGUGACGCGGGUGGGAUCAGAGGAUUUCAACCUCAGCACUGAGCCCUCUCUUCAGAAAAAUUCAAAAUAAACACAAUCCAACAGAUGAUUAGACGUCGCUAUGUAGUAGAAGAGGCGAUCAAAAGAUAAGCUAAAUCCGAAAUCGGACAGUGUAAUGUAACGGAGGUAGAGAGAGAUGGCGAGGGUACAUUUCGUCUGAGAAGGCGAGGCGAGGCAAAAUCAAGAUGAAACAGAGAGAAAUCCCUAGGAAAUUAUGGCCGGACCGGAACUCCAUUGACGAUGAGUUUUUUUUUUCUUCUUCAGUCGGAGCUAGGAUUUGGAGGGAAACGAGUUAAGUGUGGGGUUUGGAGCAAUUGAAGAUUAUAUUUGGUUGACAUAGGCUAUUUUAUUUUUAAUUUUUUUAUCAUGUGCGUCAUAAUUUUUUUUAUCAUGUGUUUAAUUGUAUUUUAAUAAAUGAGAUAGCCAAUAAAAAUUGAGAUAAUUAAUAAAGGAUAAGAGAAUUAAUGAGAAUUUAAUUUGUGAUACUAUCUUUCUCCAUCUUAUCUCGAUUUUCUUUCCAUUACAUUUUUUAAUCUCAUUAAAGUCUGCAAAACUUAUUAUUUUUCUCUAAUUUUUUUAUUAUUAAAGAUUGUACUAGUAAGAUUUGACAUAAUUUAACACGUUAGAAAAACUUUCCUUAAAAAAAACACACAAUUGCAUGUUGUAACUGGUUGAAGGUACAAGGUUGAAUUUAGGUAUACUAAAGAAGAAUCGAAGGGUAGAUCCACCUUGUUGAUUACCAUCAACCAUGCAUCUCUUGAGCUUGAGAAUAUCGGAUUAUAGUUUGGGUUCCAAAAUUUGCAUGGGAACAUCACAAUUCUCCAUUACUCACAUGGCGUAUGUAUGUGGUUCAAACGAUAAUUGAAUUGUCGUCUGACAUCUCUCAAGUCUUCGUUGUUAUUCUUUUUUUGUUCAUGUUUUUAAUCACUUCGUCCUUGACUAUUGAGUAGUUCGAAAAAACUUCCUUAAACACUCAUAUUGGUCGACUUGAUACGCUCGUCACCGAUUAAUUGCUUAGUAAAGGUAUUAACUGCUACGACGUGAUCGUUAACUUCAUCGGUUCGAAAUCACGAUAGCUACCACUAUAUAUAUUAUGCUUCGAAAUUGAAAUAUAUGUUGAAAAUAUACUAUUCCACCAAAAAUAAAAAUAAAAAUAGUAGAGUAAAUUGAUAACUUUAGAUUAAGAAAAGUUCAAAGUUCCUCUCCCAACAAAGACUACAUUAUUAAUGCUUAUAUUUUAUUAUUCAACUAUUACCACUAGGGGCAUAUGCAAGUACCAUUCAAGCAACGCCAUGGCUCUUUACAUGAAGCCAAACAUUUUAUCCUGUAAUCGUUGACCCGACGUUCGAGAUAUAGGAAGGUGACGGUGAUAUUUUGUCGCAAACGCAGACCAUGUUAAAAAUGUCCCAAUUGCAUUCAAUGCAUUCAAGACCACAUGAUGAGCACGGGAUUCUAUUAACUACGGAUCUUCCUUCUACUCCAAUGUUCGAAGUCUCACCUACAAUCACAUCAUCCGAUCAUAUUAGUAUAAUAUUUUUAAAUAAUAUUCAUAUUUUUUCUAACAAUAAUAUCUAGAAAAGAAAUUAACUACCUGCAAUGAAAAUGAAGAAUACAACCAAAAGAACCAGCUUCGUAGUUGCCUUGUUCAUUUCUUUCUUUUGAUAUCUCUUCUGCUUUUUAGAGUUUGUACUACUGAUAGUUGUAAGCUUUUGAGAUGUGUGAUACAAAAGUUAAGUUUAGUUGAUUAAUAUAUACUAUUUAAGAAAAGGUAUAUUUAAGAAGAAUAUGAUAGUUCAGUUAUUGAUAUANNNNNNNNNNNNNNNNNNNNNNNNNNNNNNNNNNNNNNNNNNNNNNNNNNNNNNNNNNNNNNNNNNNNNNNNNNNNNNNNNNNNNNNNNNNNNNNNNNNNNNNNNNNNNNNNNNNNNNNNNNNNNNNNNNNNNNNNNNNNNNNNNNNNNNNNNNNNNNNNNNNNNNNNNNNNNNNNNNNNNNNNNNNNNNNNNNNNNNNNNNNNNNNNNNNNNNNNNNNNNNNNNNNNNNNNNNNNNNNNNNNNNNNNNNNNNNNNNNNNNNNNNNNNNNNNNNNNNNNNNNNNNNNNNNNNNNNNNNNNNNNNNNNNNNNNNNNNNNNNNNNNNNNNNNNNNNNNNNNNNNNNNNNNNNNNNNNNNNNNNNNNNNNNNNNNNNNNNNNNNNNNNNNNNNNNNNNNNNNNNNNNNNNNNNNNNNNNNNNNNNNNNNNNNNNNNNNNNNNNNNNNNNNNNNNNNNNNNNNNNNNNNNNNNNNNNNNNNNNNNNNNNNNNNNNNNNNNNNNNNNNNNNNNNNNNNNNNNNNNNNNNNNNNNNNNNNNNNNNNNNNNNNNNNNNNNNNNNNNNNNNNNNNNNNNNNNNNNNNNNNNNNNNNNNNNNNNNNNNNNNNNNNNNNNNNNNNNNNNNNNNNNNNNNNNNNNNNNNNNNNNNNNNNNNNNNNNNNNNNNNNNNNNNNNNNNNNNNNNNNNNNNNNNNNNNNNNNNNNNNNNNNNNNNNNNNNNNNNNNNNNNNNNNNNNNNNNNNNNNNNNNNNNNNNNNNNNNNNNNNNNNNNNNNNNNNNNNNNNNNNNNNNNNNNNNNNNNNNNNNNNNNNNNNNNNNNNNNNNNNNNNNNNNNNNNNNNNNNNNNNNNNNNNNNNNNNNNNNNNNNNNNNNNNNNNNNNNNNNNNNNNNNNNNNNNNNNNNNNNNNNNNNNNNNNNNNNNNNNNNNNNNNNNNNNNNNNNNNNNNNNNNNNNNNNNNNNNNNNNNNNNNNNNNNNNNNNNNNNNNNNNNNNNNNNNNNNNNNNNNNNNNNNNNNNNNNNNNNNNNNNNNNNNNNNNNNNNNNNNNNNNNNNNNNNNNNNNNNNNNNNNNNNNNNNNNNNNNNNNNNNNNNNNNNNNNNNNNNNNNNNNNNNNNNNNNNNNNNNNNNNNNNNNNNNNNNNNNNNNNNNNNNNNNNNNNNNNNNNNNNNNNNNNNNNNNNNNNNNNNNNNNNNNNNNNCGUUUUCUAACGGUUAAUUGUGCGAAAUGAUCCUCUACGUUUAGGUCAAAUUACAAAUUUAUUUCCGUUGUAUCAAAAGUAAUCUAGUCAUUCAUUUUGUUAUUUAAUUUAAUUAGUGUGUUAUGUCAUCAGUUUCCGCUUUUAAACAUCCGUUAAAUUUGUUGAUAUGGCACGUCCACUUUAGUUCAAACCAAAUUGACAAUAACAUAUGGUUAAAACACGAUAAACCAAAUCAGUUAAAACGCCAAUUUUGAAUUUGGCUUAAAUAUUACGAAAAAGUCGCCAAAGACUGAUAACCCCCGAAUAAGCCCAGAUCAAUGACUUAUUAAUAUAUUUCCAACUUACUGACCUAAUUAGGCGGGAACAGGAAUCGAACCUGCAAUCUUCAUGCAGUGCAGUUGAGGAUUAAAUCUUGUAACUUUUUAACCACAAAUUGGAGUUGGGCAAACCUCAAGGGCUUUAACAGAUUUGGUUAUCAUGUUUCAACGAUGAGUAAUUAUAGGUUUGGUUUGAACUGAUGUGAAAGUACUACAUCAGUAAAUUUAACGGUUGUUUAGACUUUAGACAUGCCAAAAGCUCUGAUUUUUUGUAACGACGAUAAAAUACGUUAGUUAAAUCGGACGUGUUUGUGGUUUGGCCUAAAGGACCAUUUCGAACCAUUAACCGUGUUCUAGCUGGUAACGCAUUUGGUUUUCCAUUUUUGUUCGGUUCCCAAACAGCUUAGAACAGACAAAUUGUCAAAGAAAGAAAAAAGAAAAUACACUACAUACCAGAAAUAUAGUUAUUCCACCAAAAAUAAAAAGAGAAAUUAGUAGAGUGAAUUGAUAACUUUAGAUUAAAAAGUUACAAGUUCCUCUCCCAACAAAGACUACAUUAUUAAUGCUUAUAUUUUAUUAUUCAACUAUUACCAUUAGGGGCAUACGCAAGUACCAUCCAAGCAACGCCAUGGCUCUUUACAUGAAGCCAAACAUUUCAUCCCGUAAUCGUUGACCCGACGUUCGAGAUAUAGGAAGGUGACGGUGAUUCUUUGUCGCAAACGCAGACCAUGUUAAAAAUGUCCCAAUUGCAUUCGAUGCAUUCAGGACCACAUGAUGAGCACGGAAUUCUAUUAACUACCGAUCUUCCUUCUACUCCAAUGUUUGAAGUCUCACCUACAACAUCAUCAUUCGUUUAUAUUAGUAGAAUAUUUUUAAAUUAUAUUCGCAAUUUUUCCAACAACAAUACAUAGAAAAGAAAUUAAAUACCUGCAAUGAAAAUGAAGAGGAAAACCAAAAGAACCAGCUUCAUAGUUGCCUUAUUCAUAUCUUUCUUUUGAUAUCUCUUCUGCUCUUUAGAGUUUGUACUACUGAUAGUUGGAAGC
rnacentral:lncRNA from 1 species